rnacentral:rRNA from 1 species
GAUGAACGCUGGCGGCGUGCCUAAUACAUGCAAGUCGAGCGAACAGACGAGGAGCUUGCUCCUCUGACGUUAGCGGCGGACGGGUGAGUAACACGUGGAUAACCUACCUAUAAGACUGGGAUAACUUCGGGAAACCGGAGCUAAUACCGGAUAAUAUAUUGAACCGCAUGGUUCAAUAGUGAAAGACGGUUUUGCUGUCACUUAUAGAUGGAUCCGCGCCGCAUUAGCUAGUUGGUAAGGUAACGGCCUACCAAGGCAACGAUGCGUAGCCGACCUGAGAGGGUGAUCGGCCACACUGGAACUGAGACUCGGUCCAGACUCCUACGGGAGGCAGCAGUAGGGAAUCUUCCGCAAUGGGCGAAAGCCUGACGGAGCAACGCCGCGUGAGUGGUGAAGGUCUUCGGAUCGUAAAACUCUGUUAUUAGGGAAGAACAAAUGUGUAAGUAACUAUGCACGUCUUGACGGUACCUAAUCAGAAAGCCACGGCUAACUACGUG